GUUUUCUCCUUCUGCACAUAAACCUGUUCUGAAAGGCCUUGAUUCAUUUUAGUUCGGAUAAAUAUACUUUACAUUCAAACUGAUUUUGGUAUUCUGGCUCUGCUUCUAACAACAAUUUUCUUCUCCAUAGGGCAUGGAAAUGCAAAGUUUAUCCCUGCGCAGAUAACAAUUGCUAGGGCUAUGCUAAAGGCAACAUUUAGGACCACAGGGGCUGAGUGAUUCAUAGGAAUGUGCUGACUCUCUGCUGAGCUGUGAUUUUCACUCAAGCAAGAAGAACCUUUAACAGUUGCAGCAAACCACGUGAAACGUCAAAGUGAAGUCACUCAAGUUCCUAGUACUUUAAGAGAGAUUAUUUCAACAGAAAUUUUAUUCCCCUUGAAAAAGAAUGGAAGAUUCUCCACCUAUCUUUCAUGAAAGAAUGAUUUAUUUUUUACAGCUCCCUAUCAGUCACAGAAGCUUUGAUACUGGUUGAUUAAUCAAAGAGACUUUAUCAUCAAUCACAGUGAAACAUUUUUUUAAGUGCAGUUUUCCCCCGUGCCCCCAGACAAAAGACUUCACAUCAUUGUAACACAAGGACAAAACUGCAGCUUCCUAAGCAAAGCGGAAUACACCUUCGCAGUGCAUAUUUCUGUAAGAAGAGAGAAAAAUCCAAUCCUCAUGCCAAAUUUUUGCUGUUGGAUUCAGCUUUCUUGGACUUUGAUGCUAAACUACUGUUAGCUAUCAGUGAUCAUCACUGGGAUUCGGUUAAAUGUGCUUUGAAAUUUAUGGCUUGCUUUUAUUUUGCUCUGCUGAAGGACAGAUGAAGAUGGACAACCAUUUGGAUGAUGGAAAUUAGCUAGAAAGGGACCUGUAUUUUUAUGAAUUACCCCAUUUUGGGGAGGUGGUUGUAUCUGGACCCAAGAGUUGGAUGCGAUCCCUAUGGGUCCCUGGCAACUCUGGAUAUUCUAUAUAAGAGUGGUGAGGAAACUCUGAUGCCCAUGGUGCCCCUGGAGAAUACAGAGGAACUCAGAGGACACGAGACCAGACCAAGACCCAGCUUUUUUAGUGUUUACUUCCACAACCAAGAUUACACAAUCAGAAGCAUGUAUUUGAAGCCAGCUCCAAGCCAGCGACACAGGCUCUGCUGAUGGAACCCAGCUGCUUAUAGGACUCAAUGAGGGAGUACGUCUGCUGCAGAUUUUUAGACCUGCAUCCUCAGUACUUCAGGAAGCUGAGAAACCCAUAAGACAUUUGGAAAUGUUCCUCAGUAAUUUUUUUAUUUUAACAAAUGCAAGUGAAGAACACUUCACUAGUGGUUGGCAACCCUGGCCAUGGCAGGUGGGUUGGAAUUGGAUGAUGUUUAAGAUCUCUUCAAAUCCAAUGCAUUCUAUGAUUCAUAAGCCUGUGAACUCAUAGGAAUAGCUGUUGUGACGUCCACAGCACACUGAGGCUCUCUCAUCUUGGCAUAGAGAAUGGGGAGGGGGGAUGAAGCCUGUAGGAGGGUGGCUCAGAGAGCAAGAAUUUGUGAGCUCGAGUGCUAUGUGCACAACCGAGGCUAUGAGACCUUGAGGCUGUCAAAGCAGGAAGAAAAACUGAGGCUUCAGUUAAGAUAAGGGGGUAGCUAGCCUGGGAAGAGAUCAAGACAGUGGAAU